GGGGGCAUUGGCAUUUUGAUGGCAUGGGUCAGGUAUUUCUGUGGAACGGCCCUCAGUCUGGGUUUGUCUGGCAUGUCUUCAUCAUGAGGUAGAAGUUCUACGUGCCGGCUAGGAGAACCACAAACAGGAUGUCAUGCCCUCCUCCGUGGAUGGUGUCCAGAGGCCUGUGAUGUGACCGCAUCUGUGAUGGAAUCUCCCGUGACUUCCCUGAAAUUGCCCUGACUUCAGUCCUCGACUCCACAGGCCAUAAACACCAUAGAACACCGGGGAACUUACCCAUCCUACUUGCUAGCUACUGUGGCCUGUCCGCAAAUAAGAGCUAUUAAAGGCAAAACUUGGCCCAUGUGGGCCUCUUCCAAGUUUUCUCUCAAGAAAUCCCGACUAAAGUGUUCAUUCACUCUCA